rnacentral:sRNA from 1 species
GUCGGUUUGGUUCGCAGACCUAAAAAGCAGUUUAGUAAAGCAGUUCUCAUUUCAAAGUGUUAUCCAUAGAUAUCCCUUCUUUGAGCCUCCUUAUUGUUGCUAAUUAAAUUCUGUGCACAGGCCCUAUUCCGCCGGAAGGCACUAUAAAAAAUUAAGGUAAUUUCUAUGUCUAAUAAAAUGACUGGUUUAGUAAAAUGGUUUGACGCUGGUAAAGGUUUUGGUUUCAUUACUCCUGACAACGGUAGCAAAGAUGUAUUCGUACAUUUCUCUGCUAUUCAGAGCAACGAUUUCAAAACUCUGGACGAAGGCCAAAAAGUUGAGUUCACCAUUGAAAAUGGUCAGAAAGGCCCAUCAGCUGGCAACGUUGUUGCGCUGUAAUUGAAUUAAUAUUUCUCUUGCGAUAGCGAUG